GGGGGUGUAGCUCAAUUGGUGGAGCGCAUGCUUUGCAAGCAUGAGGUCGUCGGUUCGAUUCCGUCCACCUCCA
rnacentral:tRNA from 1 species